UUCAAAAGAAGGCUUCACCUGUGCUCGGCCGGCUUUCAUCUUUUGCAGACAAAGCAGGCUGGGGCUUGGGCCCCGGUCCGUGGCGUGCUUAGGGCCCAGCUUUGCAGCAUUACAUGGACAAAAAGAAGGAACCAGGUGAGCUCAGAAUAAGGAAGAAUUAGUUACAGGUUGGCAGCAUCCAGAGCUUGCACAGAACGUACAGAGAGAUGAAGAGAAACGUGGUCCUUGAAAUUGGACAAUCCUCCUGAUGUCCUUCCUGUGUCCUACUCUGGGAGACGGUCACACUGGGCGCUGGCGUUCGCCCGCGUUCCAGGAAGAGGGCACGAUGCGUGCUGUCUGCACUGCCUGGCGCGAUCGGUGGGGCUGCAGGGACGUGCACAGACCGAGCAAACAUUCAGAAGUACAGUCUUCAUCACCAGCAUGCUGUGCUCCUUACGCUGGUUUCGCUCUGUCCCUUUAAGCGGAGGUGUCCUGUGUCUUUGCCACCGCGUGAAGCCGUGAAGAGAAUGCUUUCUCGAAUGUCUUUCUUCGUUUGGGUACAGAAGUCUUUAUCUUGUAGCAGAGUUGCUUUAAUAUUUAAUCAGAGUGACGGAAGUUUCCAUAUGUUCAUGUUUUCCUAAGGAUUCAUCCAGGUCACUAGGAGAGAUUUGCUCCAGGGUGAAGAGAACACGGAGAACAUGAACUCUGCCAGAGGGAGGCACGGGCUGAUGCUGGGGCUGGGUCUCAGGUGGCUGUCCAUCUUCAGUCCACAGAGUGGGGUCAGUGUGGGUGGCCUGCCAGGCUCUGACGCAGAAGGACCUGUCGGCCGACACAUAACCCUAGGAAGCACCCAAAUUGAACGGCGUGGACACUCUAACUCCAAGCCACACAAUGUGUGGUAGGUACUUGCUGAGUGGCGUGGUGCCCACAGUGACAUCAGAGCAGCUCUGAGAAGGGGCGGGCGAGGCCUGGGUGUUAGGUAGCCUCCAUGUGAGUGCUGGCCCUUCCUCUGGCCUCAUGCACUGAACCCAGCUGGUUUGUGCAUGACCUGGCCACUAGGGGAUUUUUCUGGAAGCGUAUUUUAUUUCACUGGAUGAAGACUAUACAUGCAAGAAGUUUCGAUUUCAAUCUGCAAAUACAGGAUGCUGCCUGGCCUGAAACGAACCAACGAGCAAACAGACGAGCUGGACGACUGUGGUAGAGCAGAGCACCUACUCUGUAGGUGGGCUCAGCCUCAGCACAGUGGACACCACACAGUUGCUUUCGUGUCUGAUUUUCAUCAUCCCUGCCGAAAAGGGUCUGUCUUUAUAAAGUAUAACUCAGCUAUAUAUGGAGUUUAUCUGCUUCAAGUUAUGUGGACGUCUAAAAUUAACACCGGCCUUGGUAUUAACGUUCAGAGUUUAGAAUAUGUUUCAUUGGGCUCAUCUUUAGCUACUGGUCAUAAGUAAUCUAUGUGGGUCUGUAGGUACCCCCAUUCAGCAUUUAUUUGGGGAAUGUAGGCCACCAGCAAGUCAUAGUGAAGUCCGCUGGCAUGAUUUACAAGUCUGAUGUGGGGAGACAAGGCUUAUCCCGUAGGAAGCUGAUGAUUCCAUAUGGUCAUUGUAACGUUUCCUGGAAAUAUCUUAAUCCCUGUGACAUCAUCCUGUGAAAGAAGCUGUAUUCCAUGACUCAUUUCUUAGACAUUAAUUUAAGAAAUCUUUGGCACGUGCUAUUAUGGCCCAGGCAGUCCUGUCGAUGUCAGGGACAGUAACGAGCAGAAACAGACCAUAUUCCUGCUCUCAUGGACCUUGCACUUACCGGGAGGGGAGACGGAAGCUAGCAAUGUACAAGGAGUCAGUGCUGGUGAGGGUUCCAAGUGCUGUGAAGGAGUGACCAGGGCCUUCAAGCAGAGACCUGAAUGCAGUGAGGGAGCAAAACUUGGAGGUGGCUGAGGGAAAGAACAUUCUAGAAGGAAUCAUAAGUGCCAAGUCCUUGAAGUAAAAGUGUGCUCAGUGUCUUCAGGGAACUUCCCUUGUUCCCCUACAGCAUAUACUGAUUGUGUAAGUAUGUUUUUCACUUAACCACGAUGUUCAAGUAUCAAUAAAUUGCUUUCCCAACCAGA